rnacentral:misc_RNA from 1 species
AAAAAAAAAAAAAAAAUCAUCAAUUGUGACUGAGAUUGUUUAGAAGUAUUGAAGCUGGAAAAAAUAAUAAAGCUCGUAAACACAAGGUUUCAUGACUCCAAGGGUUGGUUAGAACAUUAGUAACAAGAUUCACAUAAGAGAAAGCAGAUAGAUGAGGCAGUGAUGCUAAAAGACCUUGCAUACCAAGUAAAAGCCAAUUCAG